GACAUGUCCUUUGGGGACAUUGAGAACAUAGCCGCUGACCAGGUGCGAGCCAUUACUUUUAAAGACUUUGAGGCAGCCCUGCGCAAUGUGAAGCCCUCAGUGUCUCAAAAGGACCUCGACAUCUACAUCGACUGGAACAACACUUUCGGCAGUGGAAGUCGCUGAACUGGUCAAAGACAAGGAUCACUGAAUUGUUACAUUUGUUAAGUUGUUAUACUGUUGCCCCUUUUCAUCUGUUAUAAAUCAUUUAUGCAAAUAAACAUGUAAAACAUA